rnacentral:rRNA from 1 species
UGGGGAAUUUUGCACAAUGGGGGGAACCUUGAUGCAGCGACGCCGCGUGAGGGAUGGAGGCCUUCGGGUUGUGAACCUCUUUCGCUCGUGUGCAAGCCGCUAUUUGGGUAGUGGUGAGUGUAGCGGGUAAAGAAGCGCCGGCUAACUACGUGCCAGCAGCCGCGGUAAUACGUAGGGCGCGAGCGUUGUCCGGAUUUAUUGGGCGUAAAGGGCUUGUAGGCGGUUUGUCGCGCCUGUCGUGUAAUCCUCUGGCUUAACUGGGGGUGUGCGGUGGGUACGGGCAAGCUUGAGUGCGGUAGUGGAGAUUGGAAUUCCUGGUGUAGCGGUGGAAUGCGCAGAUAUCAGGAGGAACACCGGUGGCGAAGGCGGGUCUCUGGGCCGUUACUGACGCUGAGGAGCGAAAGCGUGGGGAGCGAACAGG